AAAAAUCUUAUGACCACUAAUGUUACAAUUCAAGCUCGUGGCACGUAUUAUAAAUUUGAUCCAACCGAUCUCACGGACUUGUCCCUCGUGCUACGCCAGCAUCAAGUCCAACAACAUGUAUCAUGAGAACUUUUAGACUCCAUAAAUAUAUAUACAUAUAUGUACGUAGCAUUUGUUCGGAGUAUAUAUUACGCCAUACAGAUCGAAGAAAGAUUAUCAUUUAAUAGGUGAUAUCAAAUAAAAAAUUCAUAAGAAAACAGAUUGUACAGAGAAGCCAUGACGACGGCCAUUGCUUCACACCUCAUCGACUACGCCAUAAGUUAAGAAAAUGGUAAAAUUAUAUGAGAAUGAACACCCAGUAAAGGCCUUUGGAUGGGUAGUAGAGAUACUUCUAGUGUUCUUUCUCCUUUUUACUUUUGAAGAAGGUAUUAUUUGAUUUCAUUUCCAAAAUAUUGGUUGUCUUUUAAAAAAAAUGUUCUUGAUUCUCUGUUUGGGUUUUGGAACGGCUCCAGGUUAUUAAUUUUAAUAAUAACCUUAUUGUAUCAGGUUAUUAAUUUUAUUACUUAUUGUAUAGUUUUAGCUAGGGGAGUUAAUAUGGAUCGGAUUUGUUCAGUUUUUAUCGAAACCAAACCAAAUCAACUAUAUCGGUUUUGAUUGGUUCGAUUUUGUCGGGUUUUUCAGGGUUUUCAAAUUUUUGUUAUAUGAAUAUUAUUUCAAUCUUCCUUUGUUAAAUUUUUUAUAAGUAAAUGUAUGUUUUAGUAAAAUUUUAAAAAUGUCAAAUAUAUGUUCUAUUAAAA
rnacentral:lncRNA from 1 species